rnacentral:rRNA from 1 species
CGUAGGGGGCAAGCGUUGUCCGGAUUUAUUGGGCGUAAAGAGCUCGUAGGCGGUCUGUCGCGUCGGCUGUGAAAACUCGGGGCUCAACUCCGAGCUUGCAGUCGAUACGGGCAGGCUAGAGUUCGGCAGGGGAGACUGGAAUUCCUGGUGUAGCGGUGAAAUGCGCAGAUAUCAGGAGGAACACCGGUGGCGAAGGCGGGUCUCUGGGCCGAUACUGACGCUGAGGAGCGAAAGCGUGGGGAGCGAACAGG